rnacentral:rRNA from 1 species
UUGCCAGACUCCUACGGGAGGCAGCAGUGAGGAAUAUUGGUCAAUGGGCGAGAGCCUGAACCAGCCAAGUCGCGUGAGGGAAGACGGUCCUAUGGAUUGUAAACCUCUUUUGCCGGGGAGCAAAAAGCGGUACGUGUACCGCAUCGAGAGUACCCGGAGAAAAAGCAUCGGCUAACUCCGUGCCAGCAGCCGCGGUAAUACGGAGGAUGCGAGCGUUAUCCGGAUUUAUUGGGUUUAAAGGGUGCGUAGGCGGGCUUUUAAGUCAGCGGUAAAAAUUCGGGGCUCAACCCCGUCCGGCCGUUGAAACUGGGGGCCUUGAGUGGGCGAGAAGAAGGCGGAAUGCGUGGUGUAGCGGUGAAAUGCAUAGAUAUCACGCAGAACCCCGAUUGCGAAGGCAGCCUUCCGGCGCCCUACUGACGCUGAGGCACGAAAGUGCGGGGAUCGAACAGGAUUAGAUACCCCAGUA